CACGAAGGGGGCUAGCGUUGCUCGGAAUCACUGGGCGUAAAGCGCACGUAGGCGGCUUGGUAUGUCGGGUGUGAAAUCCCCGGGCUCAACCUGGGAACUGCAUCCGAAACUGCCUUGCUAGAGUAUGGGAGAGGGAAGUGGAAUUUCCGGUGUAGCGGUGAAAUGCGUAGAUAUCGGAAGGAACAUCAGUGGCGAAGGCGACUUCCUGGACCAAUACUGACGCUCAGGUGCGAAAGCGUGGGGAGCAAACAGG
rnacentral:rRNA from 1 species